rnacentral:rRNA from 1 species
GACGAACGCUGGCGGCGUGCUUAACACAUGCAAGUCGAACGGAAAGGCCCUGCUUGCAGGGUGCUCGAGUGGCGAACGGGUGAGUAACACGUGGGUGAUCUGCCCCUUAUUUUGGGAUAAGCCUGGGAAACUGGGUCUAAUACUGGAUAGGACCAUGCUGUAGGUGGUGUGGUGGAAAGAUUAGUUUCGGUAAGGGAUGAGCUCGCAGCCUAUCAGCUUGUUGGUGGGGUAAUGGCCUACCAAGGCGUCGACGGGUAGCCGGCCUGAGAGGGUGGACGGCCACAUUGGGACUGAGAUACGGCCCAGACUCCUACGGGAGGCAGCAGUGGGGAAUAUUGCACAAUGGGCGCAAGCCUGAUGCAGCGACGCCGCGUGGGGGAUGACGGCCUUCGGGUUGUAAACUCCUUUCAGCCAUGACGAAGCCCUUGUGGUGACGGUAGUGGCAGAAGAAGCACCGGCUAACUACGUG